GGAAGCAAAGGUUCGGCCGCCGAAAGUCAAGUUCGGCCGCCGAACAUUGCAUGGAUGCGGAGGCACAUUCGGCCCCCGAACGUGGUCUGGCCAGCCACUAUAAAAGGGUCCCUUAGCCGAAAAUGGGCGAGCUUUUUCUCCCCAUUUCGGCCAAGGUGAGCAUUCCGCCAUCCUUCCCCAAUCUUGAGUUUUUCCUUCCUUUUUCCAUGAUCUUUACAAGUUUAUAACUUUGGUUUUGAAGAUCUUUGAGCUUAGAACGAGUUUUGGAGCUUGGAGACCAAAAGUUGGAACUUCUCCCAUCUCCAAGUUUAGAUCUCCUCAACCCUCGAUCUUCAAGAGGUAAGAGCCGAUCUUAAGCUCAAUGUAUGAUUUAAACAAGUUUUAUGAAGUUUUUAAGGGGUAGAAUGCAUGUUAGGUUAUAUGAUGAGUUAUGGGUUAAUGUUGAUGUUUUGAACAAUGUAGCUUGUUUGUGUGUGAUUGAAGUGUUAUAGAUGGGGUAUAUGUAUGUUUGAGGCCCCUAGGAACUUGUAUGCAUGCUUUGGUUGAAAAAUAUGCAUGUUUGGAAAGGUUUGGAGGCGAGAUGUGUUAAGGGAGCCAAGUUUCUGCCCUUUGGCAGAAACCAGGUUCGGCAGCCGAAGGUACUUUCGGCCGCCGAACAUGGCUGGGGAGGCAGGCCUUUCGGCUGCCGAAGUUGCCCCCGAAAAGAGACUUUCGUCUCUGUCUGGGACUUUCGGCCGCCGAAGGUGCCGCCGAACCUGCCUGAGUUUCGUCUCUGUCCAGGACUUUCGGCCGCCGAAGGUGCCGCCGAAAGUGCCCUGUUCAGCCAUUUCAUGCAUAUUUUCUGUGAUAUUUUCAGGAUGUUUUAGGGGGUUUUUGGGGAAUAGUUUAGAGUUAUGUUCUAGCAUGUUUGGUCCCUCAUUUGAGUCCACCUGUGUAGGUUCGGACCCGAGGAACCGAGGACCCC
rnacentral:lncRNA from 1 species